AUGCUUGGUAGGUGACUCGAUGGAUGAGAUAUUUGAUGCCGUCAAUUCGUACUGUUCAACUUAAUUAGCAACUAAGUUUUGGAUCAGAAUUGUUAGGAAAGAGUCUUACUUUGGGAGUAACCAUGAUGUGUUAAUGCAUAUGGGGUAAAAACUGGACAUGCUGGCCAAGUGUUUUGGCGGAUACCCGCCCUUUGCUGCGCAGACAAAUGAGGAUUUGCGCCAACAAAACCGGGAGCAUCGACAAUUUGCCCCAAAGAGGCACGCAGGACAGGCGCGGAGAGAUUGUUGACCGACAUUUUGAAUUCUGGAGAGGAUGCAUCUUCAAACCAACAGAAGUUCCUUGAGAAAUAUGUUUGGUGCCCAUUAGUUGCAACUUCCUCCAUUAUGAAGAAUUUCAAAUCAAUUUUCUCGCUGCAGGCAGGACCUAUCUGCAACCAACAGAAUCAACAUGUCAUAGUUGCUUUCAAUGUGAAAGAUCAACCGUUCCGUAGGUGAACCUGCGGAAGGAUCAUUACCGAGUACCGGGUCUCUCAGGCCCUUACUCCCCACCCUUUGUGUACCUUAACCAAACUUUUAGUUGCCUUGGUGGGGCCUCCUCCUAGCUUCUAGGAACCCACCAUUGGAACAUUUCUUUAAACUCUUAUGAAUUGGGUUGUCUGAGAACAAAAAUAAAUCAAAUUAAAACUUUCAACAACGGAUCUCUUGGUUCUGGCAUCGAUGAAGAACGCAGCGAAAUGCGAUAAGUAAUGUGAAUUGCAGAAUUCAGUGAAUCAUCGAAUCUUUGAACGCACAUUGCGCCCUUUGGUAUUCCGAGGGGCAUGUCUGUUCGAGCGUCAUUUCAACCCUCAAGCUUUAAUGCUUGGUAUUGGGCUUCAUCCCUGCUUAAAAAAGGGAUGUGCCUAAAACUCAUUAUGGCGGUUGCACUUAGCUCCCUUGCGUAGUUAUUUAUUUCUCGCUUUGGAAAGUCUAGGGACAACCCGCCUAACAACCUUUUUUUUUCUUUAGGUUGACCUCGGAUCAGA
rnacentral:rRNA from 1 species